rnacentral:rRNA from 1 species
ACUCAAAGGAAUUGACGGGGGCCCGCACAAGCGGUGGAGCAUGUGGUUUAAUUCGAUGCAACGCGAAGAACCUUACCUACUCUUGACAUCCAGAGAAUUCGCUAGAGAUAGCUUAGUGCCUUCGGGAACUCUGAGACAGGUGCUGCAUGGCUGUCGUCAGCUCGUGUUGUGAAAUGUUGGGUUAAGUCCCGCAACGAGCGCAACCCUUAUCCUUUGUUGCCAGCRCGUAAUGGYGGGAACUCAAAGGAGACUGCCGGUGAUAAACCGGAGGAAGGUGGGGAUGACGUCAAGUCAUCAUGGCCCUUACGAGUAGGGCUACACACGUGCUACAAUGGCGUAUACAAAGAGAAGCGAACUCGCGAGAGCAAGCGGACCUCAUAAAGUACGUCGUAGUCCGGAUCGGAGUCUGCAACUCGACUCCGUGAAGUCGGAAUCGCUAGUAAUCGUAGAUCAGAAUGCUACGGUGAAUACGUUCCCGGGCCUUGUACACACCGCCCGUCACACCAUGGGAGUGGGUUGCAAAAGAAGUAGGUAGCUUAACCUUCGGGAGGGCGCUUACCACUUUGUGAUUCAUGACUGGGGUGAAGUCGUAACAAGGUAACCGUAGGGGAACCUGCGGCUGGAUCACCUC